rnacentral:lncRNA from 1 species
CAGAACCAGCCUUGUCCCCUGGCAAAAGAGGCCCAGUGCUGAGCCCUGGGCAAGUGUCUCCAGACAUUGCUACCCCUCCUCCUCUUACUAGUUUCCCUUUCCAACAAAUUAUUUCCUUUUUGCCACCAAAAUGAGGUUGUAUUCAAAAGUUUCUCACAAGCUUAAAAAAGAAAAAGGAAAAAUUGACAACCAUUAUACAGAAGAAGUCACAAAAGCUGCAGCAGCACCAGGGGCCAAGAAGCAGCAUCAGACCCAGGCCUGCAAGACACACCAAAAGACUCCUCCAAGUCGUGUAAGGGAGAAAACGAAACACUCCACUGGCCUCUAUCAGGGGAAGUUAAUUUUUCCCCUUUUCUGCACAUUUUCCAAACUCUAUAACUCUAAUUUGCAGUACAGAAAAUAAGCUUUUAUAUUUAUUAUUUU